rnacentral:lncRNA from 1 species
AAGUCAUUGCCACGCUGAGCACAUUUCUGUCUCACCAUGUAACUCAAGAAAUAAUGCAAUUGCAUCUAGUGGACUUCACCCAAACUGUGCCCUGGGUUGCCCUGGGGAGCUGGUUCUGCUGCUUCAGGCUAACUCACUUAUUGUGGCAGGAGGCUGCUGAUAUGUGAGUUUGAGUUUUAUGCAAUUUCUUGUAUAAGAGGAGAGCCUAAGUCCAUGGAAGCUGGGAUUGAACAUCCUGAAUAUGCAGUUCCUUGGAGAGCCACCAAGAAAAGACCUAAGCAGGAGACAUGAUGUCACCUUCGGGGAGGAGGCUCUUCAGCUGUCUGGCAUGGGAGGAGGAGGAAUGAGGAGGAUCACUGGCCUUGAACCCCCAAGGAGAGGCCAGAGCACCUUUCUGGGACUCAGCCCAGGGAUUAGGAGUCAGACAAGGAAGAAGAGGACAUGAUAGGAAACUGGGAGGUGAGUAUCAGAAAUGAGGUUGAGUCAGUGAGAAGAUGAGGCCACACAGGGAUGCCCGGUGCUCAGGGCCCAGGAGAACCUACUCAGAGUCAUCGUGCAUUGUGCAGAAAGACGCCUGGCUGAGGGAGUAAGUGGGGGUCAAAAUCCCACCUAACUCCUACUCUCCAAACAAGUUUUGCUUCUGCUGGCAUCAUCCUGCACAGGCCAGGCAGGCAAUAGGUGAGGCAUACUGCGGGUCACUAGGUCCUAGGGGAUCAGAGCAGGUCAUCCUCCAGGAUAGGCAGAAGUGGAUCAAGGAAGCCCUGCAGCUCAAAGAGUCCAGCAG